CACCGCGGUUAUACGAGAGGCCCAAAUUGAAAGACAUCGGCGUAAAGCGUGGUUAAAUUAAAAUUAAACUAAAGUUAAAUAUCUUUAGGACUGUCAUACGUACCCAAGGACAAGAACUUCAAUCACGAAAGUAACUUUAUAUAAACUGAACCCACAAAAGCUAUAACC
rnacentral:rRNA from 1 species